rnacentral:rRNA from 1 species
AACUCGACUGCGUGAAGGUGGAGUCGCUAGUAAUCGCGGAUCAGCAACGCCGCGGUGAAUGCGUUCCCGGGCCUUGUACACACCGCCCGUCAAGUCAUGAAAGUGGGCAGCACCCGAAGACGGUGGCCUAACCCUUGUGGGGGGAGCCGUCUAAGGUGAGGCUCGUGAUUGGGACUAAGUCGUAACAAGGUAAC